rnacentral:tRNA from 1 species
GGAAACAUAGCUCAAUGGAAGAGCGUCAGGUACAAGCAAAGCACAGCUGAUGGUUGGCGGUUCGAAUCCGUCUGUUUCCU